CAUAACAACGACCAGCGACAAUCCAACAAUCGACAACAACUAGGGAGAACGGCGACAGCCCAGGUGACGGCGGCGACGACGGAUCCUUCCCUGCGUAUGGGCAAACCCUAAUCUGCUUAUGGUCCAACCCAUCUCUGGCCUAAAGCUCCGGCGUCUUCGCACCUAAUUCUCAAUCCGACCGUUCGAUCGCCGCCCUCCACCCAUCUCCGGCGUAAAGCUCUUCUCGCUGCCCUGUACCUGCUUCUCUAUCUUCAUCAUAGUGAUAGCCACAAGACUUUGGGUAUUUUCUUUUUUUCUUUCUUUCUCUGGACUGAGUUUUUUGGUUUAAAUACUAAAGAUUUGAUUGAAUAUGUGUUUCUGUGAAUGGGAUGUUCCAUUAUCGUGAUUCAAUUUUGCGAAUAAGAUUCAAUUUUUGUUCUGCACUCAUUUUUGUUCUUUCUCUUUAUAGUUACAUAUAUAUAUGUACUCAAUGGUUUAUCUGUAUUUUAAGCCAACUAGAUGUUUUGUCUUUCUAGCAACAGAUGUACUGUUGCCUUGUGAUAUCUGUGUCCUUUAAUUCUUUAGCAUUGUCAUUUGUUCUAUUUCAGUCUUCUCUUGCCCCUUUAAUAUUAAAAACAAAAGAAAACUAAAAUUCUUGUUGCUGGUAAAGUUUGUUUGUAACAUCGACGAGGCACACCAGAACUGGAUAACCUCCAUUGACGAGGACCCCUUCAACCUCAAGAAGACGGAGACCGCCAUACCAAUUCCAAGAUUGGAUCAUUUUGCCUUAUCAAUUUGUUUCGGUCUGUGGCUUUUGGAUCUGGGUAUUAGUUAUUUUUGCCAUUGUAAUGAUCAUGUUCAUACUCAGAUUUACAUUUUGAUGUGUUUAUUUUUCUUAGAAAUGUUGAAUUUUAUUGGAUUGGCAGUGUUAUGGUGAUUUAAAGUCUCGAAUUUUAGGUAUUAUUAUUAUAAUCAAGUUUCCAUAGAUGCCACCAGAAGAUGGCAGCAAAACCUUUACUGUGGAUGAGGCCCUUGUGUCUAUGGGAUUCGGAAACUUCCAUGUUCUUGUGCUCUGUUACGCAGGCAUGGCUUGGAUUUCUGAGGCAAUGGAGAUGAUGCUACUUUCUUUUGUUGGGCCAGCUCUUCGAUCAGCAUGGGGCAUCUCAUCUCAUCAACAAAGCCUUAUAACUAGUGUUGUUUUUGCUGGCAUGCUCGUCGGAGCUUAUUCAUGGGGCAUUGUUUCGGAUAAACAUGGAAGAAGGAAAGGAUUCCUUAUGACAGCUAUGGUUACUGCUGGGGCUGGAUUUAUGAGUGCACUUGCUCCCAAUUAUAUAAUGUUGCUUAUUUGUUGUUGUUUGGUUGGUGUUGGGUUGGGAGGUGGUCAUGUAUUCUCAUCUUGGUUUCUGGAGUUCAUUCCUGCUCCUAACAGAGGUACUUGGAUGGUUAUUUUUUCAGCUUUUUGGACUCUUGGAACAAUUUUUGAGGCUUCACUUGCAUGGUUUGUCAUGCCAACACUGGGCUGGAGAUGGCUUCUUGCCCUGUCUUCGAUACCUUCAUCCCUUCUCCUUCUAUUCUAUUGGGUUGCACCUAAGUCACCACGAUUUUUAUGCUUGAAAGGAAGAACAGCUGAAGCACUCAAUGUUUUAGAAAAAAUAGCAAGAAUGAACAAAACCAAGCUCCCUCCUGGUAUUCUUGUUUCAGAUCACCAAAUUGAGCUACAAGAAAAGAAUACCCCAUCAGAAGAAGAAGAUUCACAUUUACUGCCGCCCGCAGGUGAUGAAACCACAACUUCUAAGAAAGCAGAUUCUAAGACAGGGGCAUUUUCAUCACUAUUAAUUCUUCUUUCCCCAAAAUUAGUUAGGUCUACCUUGCUUUUAUGGUUUGUAUUUUUUGGAAAUGCUUUUUCAUAUUAUGGCCUCGUGUUGCUGACAUCUGAGUUAAAUAAUGGACAUAGUAAAUGUUAUCCAAACAAUUUGCAAUCACCAAAGUCACAGGAUGUCAGCUAUAGAGAUAUUUUCAUCACUAGUUUUGCAGAACUGCCUGGACUUCUAAUAGCUGCCUUCACAGUAGAUUUUUUCUGCUAUUACAAGGAUAGUAUUCAAAUUUAGAUAUAUGUGGACUCCUAAAACAGUGCUUUUAUCAGUGGAGUGACUAUUGCAAUUUGGCACUUAUUAAUGUUUUUCCUUAAUUUCAGUUGUUGACUAGAUGACCAUCACUACAAAAAAUGAGAGGCCUAAGAGAUUUUAGAUUCUUACAGAGGCGAAUAGAAGACUGGUUGUCCAAGAAGAU